CCUACGGGGGACUGCAGUGGGGAAUAUUGCACAAUGGGGGAAACCCUGAUGCAGCGACGCCGCGUGAGUGAAGAAGUAUUUCGGUAUGUAAAGCUCUAUCAGCAGGGAAGAAGAUAGACGGUACCUGACUAAGAAGCCCCGGCUAACUCCGUGCAAGCAGCCGCGGUAAAACGUAGGGCGCAAGCGUUAUCCGGAUUUACUGGGUGGAAAGGGAGCGUAGGGGGCUGUGCAAGUCUGAAGUGAAAGCCCAGGGCUCAACCCUGGGACUGCUUUGGAAACUGGGGAGCUAGAGUGCUGGAGAGGCAAGUGGAAUUCCUAGUGUAGCGGUGAAAUGCGUAGAUAUGAGGAGGAACACCAGUGGCGAAGGCGGCUUACUGGACAGUAACUGACGUUGAGGCUCGAAAGCGUGGGGAGCAAACAGGAUUAGAUACCCUUGUAGUC
rnacentral:rRNA from 1 species